UGAACCCCGCACAAGGAGUUGUCUUCGUAUGCGAGUGUUCGGGUGUCAAACCCCUACGCGUAAUGAAAGUGAACGCAGGUGAGAGCUUCGGCGCAUCAUCGACCGAUCCUGAUGUUCUCGGAUGGAUUUGAGUAAGAGCAUACGGGGCCGGACCCGAAAGAAGGUGAACUAUGCCUGUGUAGGGUGAAGCCAGAGGAAACUCUGGUGGAGGCUCGCAGCGGUUCUGACGUGCAAAUCGAUCGUCAAACAUGGGCAUGGGGGCGAAAGACUAAUCGAACCUUCUAGUAGCUGGUUUCCGCCGAAGUUUCCCUCAGGAUAGCAGUGUUGAACUCAGUUUUAUGAGGUAAAGCGAAUGAUUAGGGACUCGGGGGCGCUAUUUAGCCUUCAUCCAUUCUCAAACUUUAAAUAUGUAAGAAGCUCUUGUUGCUUAAUUGAACGUGAGCAUUCGAAUGUAUCAACACUAGUGGGCCAUUUUUGGUAAGCAGAACUGGCGAUGCGGGAUGAACCGAACGCGAGGUUAAGGUGCCAGAGUAGACGCUCAUCAGACACCACAAAAGGUGUUAGUACAUCUUGACAGCAGGACGGUGGCCAUGGAAGUCGGAAUCCGCUAAGGACUGUGUAACAACUCACCUGCCGAAUGUACUAGCCCUGAAAAUGGAUGGCGCUCAAGCGUCUCACCCAUACCUCGCCCUCAGGGUAGAAACGAAGCCCUGAGGAGUAGGCGGACGUGGAGGUCAGUGACGAAGCCUAGGG
rnacentral:rRNA from 1 species